CUCUUUGCAGCUUGAAAUUGUGCAGAAGGGAGAUCCAUCAGGAAUGUUGUUUUUCUCAUAUAUGGUAGAGGAUAAGAAUGUCAAUGGCCCUUCAUAUGUCGAGUUUCUUGUGCAUAUCCAUCGACAAAUCCAAGUCAAGAUGUCUUGAUCAUCCUUUCAUUUGAUGCGGUUGGAGAGGUGCAUUGCCUUAGCUGGAAGUGCAUUAAGAAGGCGGCAAAGAAAGAAACAUAUGAAGGCCUGAACAUCGGCAGGAUCUUCUACUUAAGCUUUUCUGUACAUAUUCAGCAGAAAACCUGAUAAGGACGUCAUGCUUCUGUUCAUUUUUAUUAAAUUGAAGGUCAUGCCUAGAGAUACAAAAGAACCUCCUCCCCCGCUAUAAAAAGCCAGAUUGGUGCUUCAUGCUGGCUUGGUCACUUAGGGAGCGAGAAUAAGAUAGUUUUGUUGAGAGGGAUUCUUGAUCAUAAUGAAAUCUUUUCGAAAAGAACGUGAUAAUAAUCUAUAUGUGCCAUUUUGGUUUUUUUUUUUGUUUUAAUUUGUUUUUACUCUGAAACUUCUGUGUUUACUGUAUGAGAGAAUUGUAUGCGAGCAGGUGGUUCAUGUAAUGAACUAUUUUUGGUUAAAUAGGUAAACCUUUCUGCCUCAA